CUACGGGUCGCUGCAGUGAGGAAUAUUGCACAAUGGGGGGAACCCUGAUGCAGCAACGCCGCGUGGAGGAUGACGCAUUUCGGUGUGUAAACUCCUUUUAUAUGUCAAGAAAAUGACGGUAGCAUAUGAAUAAGCACCGGCUAACUCCGUGCCAGCAGCCGCGGUAAUACGGAGGGUGCAAGCGUUACUCGGAAUCACUGGGCGUAAAGGACGCGUAGGCGGGGUGGAAAGUCAGGUGUGAAAUCCUACAGCUUAACUGUAGAACUGCACUUGAAACUUCUAAUCUAGAGUAUGGGGAGGGGAGAUGGAAUUAGUGGUGUAGGGGUAAAAUCCGUAGAUAUCACUAGGAAUACCUAAAGCGAAGGCGAUCUCCUGGAACAUUACUGACGCUAAGGCGUGAAAGCGUGGGGAGCAAACAGGAUUAGAUACCCGGGUAGUC
rnacentral:rRNA from 1 species